rnacentral:rRNA from 1 species
CCUACGGGGGGCUGCAGUGGGGAAUAUUGGACAAUGGGCGAAAGCCUGAUCCAGCAAUGCCGCGUGAGUGAUGAAGGCCUUAGGGUUGUAAAGCUCUUUUACCAGGGAUGAUAAUGACAGUACCUGGAGAAUAAGCUCCGGCUAACUCCGUGCCAGCAGCCGCGGUAAUACGGAGGGAGCUAGCGUUGUUCGGAAUUACUGGGCGUAAAGCGUACGUAGGCGGUUAUUCAAGUCAGAGGUGAAAGCCUGGAGCUCAACUCCAGAACUGCCUUUGAAACUAGAUAGCUAGAAUCACGGAGAGGUGAGUGGAAUUCCGAGUGUAGAGGUGAAAUUCGUAGAUAUUCGGAAGAACACCAGUGGCGAAGGCGGCUCACUGGACGUGUAUUGACGCUGAGGUACGAAAGCGUGGGGAGCAAACAGGAUUAGAUACCCCUGUAGUC